AUUGAACGCUGGCGGCAGGCCUAACACAUGCAAGUCGAGCGAGCGGCGGACGGGUGAGUAAUGUAUGGGGACUGCCCGAUAGAGGGGGAUAACUACUGGAAACGGUGGCUAAUACCGCAUACUAUCGGAUAACCCAUAUGGGAUUAGCUAGUAGGUGGGGUAAAGGCUCACCUAGGCGACGAUCUCUAGCUGGUCUGAGAGGAUGAUCAGCCACACUGGGACGUAGACACGGCCCAGACUCCUACGGAGGCAGCAGUGGGGAAUAUUGGGCAAUGGACGAAAGCCUGACAGAGCAACGCCGCGUGUAUGAAGAAGGUUUUAGGGUCGUAAAUCUCUGUUAGUAGGGAAGCGUUAUCUAAACAGAAAGCCACGGCUAACUACGUGCCAGCAGCCGCGGUAAUAC
rnacentral:rRNA from 1 species